CCACACUGGAGAGCNAGCCUUUGGAGGGGACCUUGCAGCCACGAAACUCAAAUGUCUUAACUAAAAGAAACCAAUGGGAAUUAAAUGGAGGAAAUUUACCAUUUAUAAUAGAACUUCAGUAUUCCUAAUAAGAAUGAAACCUUUGGGGGAAAGAACAUUGGCUUUUAAACACAGGCAUGCACACAAAAUGGAAAGGAAAUUGGAUAAUGAUGCUUCAGAUAUGAACAUGGUUGUGGUAUUGUCAGUCUUUCUUUUCCAAGGCUCAGGUAUUUCAUUCCUUCAAUCUUUCCAUUUCCAACCAGCUUCAGACUUCUUAGAUGUCCUUUUCUAGGCAUAUUCNAAUUCUUUAUCUUUAUGCUGUGGCAGUUAGAAAUGAAUGCAGUUCUCUUNGGUCAUGGUUACACCUUAACAAUAUAGUCCAUCUUAGGAUAGAUAGGAAAUGAGUCUGUUUUCAGCCUGGUCACUCCAGCAGCAGUGCAGCCACAUGGCUGCUGGCAGAAGGUGGGUGAGGGUAUGCUGGGCAGGCCAGCUCAGGUCACCUCCUUCAGCUUUGAGCCCCAGAGCCCACUGGCUGNUNUCCAUGCAGCCCUUUCCAGGGUAAGGCAAAGCAAGAUGGUUCCAUGGGUGGAGCAGAAUGCAGCUGGUAGUGACUAGUUCUGGUUGCCAUCUUCAGCUUUGGGUGCCGGAAAAGCAGCAGACUGCUGCUGAGCUGAGUACAGACUGGCAGCUCUUCACCUGAAUCUGUUUCUUGCUGCUAAAAUGGACUCAGUUCUGGAAUUAUCCCAACUGGGACGGGAAAGUCUCCAGAAGAUGCGGAAAUGCACUUUGGUGUCUGAUCUCCAAAGACUUAAAAUGGUCUCCAUUCUGCUUAAAUGUAAGGUGUGGCUGCACCUUAGGUGAGCACAGUUCAAAGUAAGGUACUAUCAGAGCUUCUCACAAUCUGGACUAUGUGUGGAUGGAUUAUUUAUUUAUUUAAAAUAUUUAUAAACUGUUUCCCAUCAAAAUUUAAUCUCAAAGUGGUUUAUUAGUACAUGAUGGCAUCAGUUGUCAGCACACAUCAAUCUGUCAAGCAAUUUGGGCAGGUGUGAAAUCAUACCUCAAAGCCACUAGUGCUGUGCACACCACAGUGAUGUCAAUAUGGUGAAGAAUUGUAAUAAUUUUUGUGGUUGUCUGCCACAUUGCACAGAUUUUUAAAAAUACAAUAUUUUGCUGCCUNCUGUNUAAGCUGGAUUGCUAAAUGGUUUUGGCUAAGAGAUAAAAGAUUGUUGCANUUGGAAGGUUUUGAUUUAAGAUAUGGUUGGCACAGUUACUUAUGGUAUGAUAAGGUAAAGGUAAAUGCUGCAUUUAAGAAUCACUAUGUAAGACAUGCAUUAUGGAUAAUUUGGAGUAAGUAUAAGAGUAAAUUGUAUCCUAGAAUACCAAUGUGGGUUUCACCUCAUGAAGGUUUGUUUAAAAAUUUGGGAGAAGAGAAAGAUGGAUUAAAUAUGAAGCGGUGUUGAGUAAAAAUAAUGAAACAGAUGAUUUUUUCUUGAAAACAAGAGAACAGUUGAACCAGGAGGGGUUAGAGGUACAAUGGUUAAUGUAUGCUCAAUUGAUGGAUGUUUUUAAAGAAGAUAAAAGAAGGAUGNAUUUUGAAAUAGAAAGACAGAAAUGGGAAGAAGAAUUGGAAAAAGAAGAAAGGGGGAUUAUAGNGGUACUGUANGAUUUCCUUUCAAAAACAGAAUUAAAACAAGAGCAAGUUAAAGAAUGUAUGAUAAAGUGGGCACAAAAUUUUGGCUAUAAUAUUUCGAUGGAUCAAUGGNAAAAAUUGUAGACCAAAGAUAUGAAAUUUACUGUAUGUAAUAUGUUGNAAGAGAAUAUAUAUAAGAUGAUGUAUCAAUGGUACUUAACACCUUUUAGAAUCUCAAAAAUGUAUCAAGGCAUGUCAAGUAAAUGUUGGAAAUGUAAGAAGCANGAGGGUACUUUUUAUCAUAUGNGGUGGACUUGUGCAAAAACCAAAAGGUUUUGGGUUCAAAUUCAUAUAGUUAUGCAGAAAAUCUUAAAGACAAACAUUNCUUUUAGACCNGAAUUAUUCCUNCUGGGGAUAGUGUAAAAUAAUGUUGAAGGUGUCAAUGUGCUAUUGCAAAAUAUGGUAACUGCUGCCAGAAUUGUAUAUGCUCAGAAGUGGAAAGGGGAGAUAAUACCAACGGUGGGUGAUUGGAUAGUUAAAAUGAUGGAGCUUGCNGAGAUGGAUAAAUUGAAAAAUCUUUUGAGAAAUAAGGCAGUUGAUAGGUUUUACAGGAACUGGAAACCCUUUAUUGACUUUCUGCAAGAGCUGGACAAUGGACUUGUGAUUGCUGGAUUUGAGGAGUGAAAACGAAAGAAGAGUUUCGGUGAAAAAAAGAAGGAAGGAGAACAGCACGUUGAAGAACAUGAAAUUAAGAAGAAACUGUUAAUGAAGGAGGAACUUGAUAAUAAUAGUGAUAUAAGAAUGUAAUGUAAAGUGUAAUUUUAUAUAUUUGAAAUACUAUAACAAUAAAAGAAAAGAAAAAAAAAAUACA
ensembl:lncRNA